GGGGAACGCGAAGAACCUUACCCGGGCCUUGUACACACAGGGGCCUUGUACACACCGGGGUCUUGUACACACCGAGAACGUUCCAGAGAUGGAUUGGUGCCUUCGGGAACUCUGAUACAGGUGCUGCAUGGCUGUCGUCAGCUCGUGUCGUGAGAUGUUGGGUUAAGUCCCGCAACGAGCGCAACCCUUUUCCUUACUUGCCAGCAUUUCGGAUGGGAACUUUAAGGAUACUGCCAGUGACAAACUGGAGGAAGGCGGGGACGACGUCAAGUCAUCAUGGCCCUUACGGCCAGGGCUACACACGUGCUACAAUGGUCGGUACAAAGGGUUGCUACACAGCGAUGUGAUACUAAUCUCAGAAAUCCGUGCGCUCUACCCGCCUGGGGGUCUUGUACACACCG
rnacentral:rRNA from 1 species